rnacentral:snoRNA from 1 species
AACUCCUAUUUCUGCCCCAUAUUUCCUUUCUUCUAUGAGAUAAUGGGUCUUGUAACGGAGAAGAGAAAGCCAGGUAAUGUCCCAUGCACACUUUUGAUACAACCGUGUUUGGGAUGUUGGCUGGAUCGUGUGAAUGCAUUAUUCGAUCUGCUGCGCUAGUGAUGCACAGUAGGAUUUGAUGCUUCUCUAUAUAC